CAAUAGCGUAUAUUAAAGUUGUUGCGGUUAAAAAGCUCGUAGUUGGAUUUCUGUCGUGAGAGGCGUGGUCCCUGCUUUGCAGGGUAUCUGCUGUCGCUCAGGCAUCCUCUCGGUGUACGUGUUGGUGCUUAAUUGCGUCUCACGGGCGUCGAGACUUUUACUUUGAGGAAAUUGGAGUGUUCACAGCAAGUCUUCGCUUGGACAUUUUAGCAUGGAAUAAUAAUAUAGGUUCUCGGCCCUAUUUUGUUGGUUUCUAGGAUUGAGAAAAUGAUUGCAGAGACGGACAUGGGCAUUGGUAUUGCAGUGUCAGAGGUGGAAUUCUUGGAUUACUGUACGACCAACUGCUGCGAAAGCUUCUGUCAGGGACGUUUUCAAUGAUCAAGAACGAAAGUUAGAUGAUCGAAGAUGAUUAGAUACCAU
rnacentral:rRNA from 1 species